ensembl:lncRNA
CAUGCAGAGGUCAUUUGCUCAGGGUUAUAAAGCAAUCCUGUUUCAGGGUAACAACCUAAUAAUGGGGAAGUCACCAGCCCUUCCAGUUUCGGAUCUUCUAAUCAAGGUGAAACCAGAAACUGCCAGAGUGACUCGAAUGGAGGUCUAGGAUGACCUGAGUUUGAUGCCCAAGCCCUGCAAAGUAGGAGUGGACUUUCUCCGGUGGAUUGGCCCCUGACCUUUUCCACUUGUGCUGUGGAACUCAUAUACACAUACCUACAGUUACUCGAUUUCCCAGGCUGCCUGGAGCUCUCAGCCAUUCUCCUGUGUCAGCCUCUUGAGUCCUGGGAUUACAGACACGAGCCAUUGUCCGCCACCAUUUACUCUUUACUCCAUACUGUCGGGUUUCUCAGACCCUCACCGGGGCAUCUCUUACUGUCCUCCAGGCUGGGACUGUGUGAGGUAGUGCUCAGCAAGGUAUUAAUUAGCCUUUUGUCUCAUCAUUUUCCUCUGCUCAUAGAGCUAACCUCCUAUCAGGCAGGGCUAUAUGAGAAGCAGAAAGUCUGUAUAUUGCCUGGUGUUCUGAUGAUCAUAUCUGUAUCCUCUGGAAAGAAGUCUCUCCACCCCACUUCCUCUUUUUUUGUGUUUAAGACCAGGGCUCACUAUGUAACCUUGGUUAUCCUAGAACACACUAUGUAGACCACAGUGGCCGUGAACGCAGAGAUCCACCUGCCCCUGCCACCUGAGUGCUGGGAUUAAACGCGUGCACCACCAUGCUCCGCUUAGAGGAAACUUUCUCAAUAAAGAAUUGUUUGUGCG